GAUGAACGCUAGCUACAGGCUUAACACAUGCAAGUCGAGGGGAAACGGCAUCGAAAGCUUGCUUUUGAUGGGCGUCGACCGGCGCACGGGUGAGUAACGCGUAUCCAACCUGCCCAUCACUUGGGAAUAACCUUGCGAAAGUAAGACUAAUGCCCAAUGACAUCCCACGAAGGCAUCCGAAUGGGAUUAAAGAUUUAUCGGUGAUGGAUGGGGAUGCGUCUGAUUAGCUUGUUGGCGGGGUGACGGCCCACCAAGGCAACGAUCAGUAGGGGUUCUGAGAGGAAGGUCCCCCACAGUGGAACUGAGACACGGUCCAAACUCCUACGGGAGGCAGCAGUGAGGAAUAUUGGUCAAUGGGCGAGAGCCUGAACCAGCCAAGUAGCGUGCAGGAUGACGGCCCUAUGGGUUGUAAACUGCUUUUAUAAGGGAAUAAAGUGGGUCACGUGUGACUUUUUGCAUGUACCUUAUGAAUAAGGACCGGCUAAUUCCGUG
rnacentral:rRNA from 1 species